rnacentral:lncRNA from 10 species
CACAGAGCAUGCUGUUUCUUUCGUGCCAGAAGGUUCCCGCUGCAGCUCUCCUGCUAGUUUAGCUUAGCCUUCUGGUUUGAGGGAUGAGUCACAUGUACCAUCACUUCCCAGGACCAACAGGACCUUUCAGGAAAGCUAUCCCCUGCUUACACAGAGAAUUGCCCUUGCCUAACACUGAAGCCUGGCAGAGUAACAUGAAAUAACCACAGCAAUUCUAAAAUUAGAAUUAGCACGCCUAGAAUAACAGGCGCUGUUGUAGGAGCAAGGUAUACAAUGAUGAUCAAGGCAGAUGCAGCCCUUACCUUCAGGUCGUGGAGUCCGGAUACAGACUGGAGGCAGAGGCAGCUGUAAGAUGUGUGACAAAUGCUGCGCUGGAUCAGCCCAUGGUAUUAGGAGAGCAGGUAAGGAAGGGUGGGGACGGGAGCGGACAACCUGGAGGAAGAGGCAGCUAAGCAGAGUCCGGAAGGCUGAGGAGGAGUCAGCAGGUGAAAGAGAGGGAAUCAUGACAUGCCAUCUCAACUGUAGGGCACGGCUAGCUGGCUGACUUAGCUGCUGUAACACCGGAUUUUUGCAAGACUCCCUGAGUAUUUCUCGUGGACUUGCGAACAAAUCUGAGCAAGAAAACCACGUAAUUUCUUUUAUGCCCUGCCCAAGAAAGCCACCUGGAGGGGCAAGGCGACCUUAGCAGAAAGAAGCUGGAGGUGGGGGGAGAGCAGGGUGAUGUUACUCUCCGUAUGGUGGGGGGUGGACACCUCCCUGUCACAUGGCUCGUAAUAUCCAGCGGGGGAGAGGGGGUUGACUUUCCCCUACGUUAUUGGUAAUAUCACCUCCCUCUCUCCCGCUAAAUAUUAAGUACAAUAUCACAGGUGGGGCGUACACCCCCGGCGAUGUUUGAAGUAACAUCAACUUCUCC